GGUCGGCUAGUGUAAUGGUUAACACGUCAGUUUCCGGUUUUGAGGUCACUUGAUAGCUGAAGAUUGGGGGUUCGAGUCCCCCGCUGAUCG